rnacentral:rRNA from 1 species
GACGAACGCUGGCGGCGUGCUUAACACAUGCAAGUCGAACGAAGUGGCGAACGGGUGAGUAACGCGUAAUCAACCUGCACUUCAGAGGGGGAAAACAGUUGGAAACGACAGCUAAUACCGCAUACUGAAGGAGGGGAUUGCGUCUGAUUAGCUAGUUGGGGGGGAAACGGCCCACCAAGGCGAUGAUAAGUCGCCGGUCUGAGAGGGUUAACGGCCACAUCGGGACUGAGACACGGCCCAGACUCCUACGGGAGGCAGCAGUGGGGAAUCUUCCGCAAUGGACGAAAGUCUGACGGAGCAACGCCGCGUGAGUGAUGACGGCCUUCGGGUUGUAAAGCUCUGUUAAUCGGGACGCGGUACCGGAAUAGAAAGCCACGGCUAACUACGUGCCAGCAGCCGCGGUAAUUA